CCUACGGGCGGCAGCAGUGGGGAAUAUUGCACAAUGGGGGAAACCCUGAUGCAGCAACGCCGCGUGAAGGAAGACGGUUUUCGGAUUGUAAACUUCUGUUCUCAGUGAAGAAUAAUGACGGUAGCUAAGGAGCAAGCCACGGCUAACUACGUGCCAGCAGCCGCGGCAAUACGUAGGUGGCAAGCGUUGUCCGGAAUUACUGGGUGUAAAGGGAGCGCAGGCGGGAAGCCAAGUCAGCUGUGAAAACUACGGGCUUAACUUGUAGACUGCAGUUGAAACUGGUUUUCUUGAGUGAAGUAGAGGUUGGCGGAAUGCCGAGUGUAGCGGUGAAAUGCGUAGAUAUUCGGAGGAACACCGGUGGCGAAGGCAGCCAACUGGGCUUUAACUGACGCUGAGGCUCGAAAGUGUGGGGAGCGAACAGGAUUAGAUACCCCUGUAGUC
rnacentral:rRNA from 1 species